CCCAGACUCCUACGGGAGGCAGCAGUGGGGGAUAUUGCACAAUGGGGGAAACCCUGAUGCAGCGACGCCGCGUGAGUGAAGAAGUAUUUCGGUAUGUAAAGCUCUAUCAGCAGGGAAGAAAAUGACAGUACCUGACCAAGAAGCCCCGGCUAACUACGUGCCAGCAGCCGCGGUAAUACGUAGGGGGCAAGCGUUAUCCGGAUUUACUGGGUGUAAAGGGAGCGUAGACGGCGACGCAAGUCUGGAGUGAAAGCCCGGGGCCCAACCCCGGGACUGCUCUGGAAACUGCGUCGCUGGAGUACGGGAGGGGCAGGCGGAAUUCCUGGUGUAGCGGUGAAAUGCGUAGAUAUCAGGAGGAACACCAGUGGCGAAGGCGGCGUACUGGACUGUAACUGACGUUGAGGCUCGAAAGCGUGGGGAGCAAACAGGAUUAGAUACCCUUGUACUA
rnacentral:rRNA from 1 species